UAACACUAACUGGAGGACCGAACCGACUAAUGUUGAAAAAUUAGCGGAUGACUUGUGGCUGGGGGUGAAAGGCCAAUCAAACCGGGAGAUAGCUGGUUCUCCCCGAAAGCUAUUUAGGUAGCGCCUCGUGAACUCAUCUUCGGGGGUAGAGCACUGUUUCGGCUAGGGGGUCAUCCCGACUUACCAACCCGAUGCAAACUACGAAUACCGAAGAAUGUUAUCACGGGAGACACACGGCGGGUGCUAACGUCCGUCGUGAAGAGGGAAACAACCCAGACCGCCAGCUAAGGUCCCAAAGUCAUGGUUAAGUGGGAAACGAUGUGGGAAGGCACAGACAGCCAGGAUGUUGGCUUAGAAGCAGCCAUCAUUUAAAGAAAGCGUAAUAGCUCACUGGUCGAGUCGGCCUGCGCGGAAGAUGUAACGGGGCUAAACCAUGCACCGAAGCUGCGGCAGCGACACUAUGUGUUGUUGGGUAGGGGAGCG
rnacentral:rRNA from 1 species